rfam:Lupinus angustifolius cultivar Tanjil contig_1779, whole genome shotgun sequence.
AGGUGUGAUCAUACAAGCACUAAUCCACCGGAACACUUUAGAACUGUGAAGUUAAGCAUGCUUGAGUGAGAGUAGUACUAAGAUGGGUGACCUCCUGCGAAGUCCUCGUGUUACACCUU